GACGAACGCUGGCGGCGUGCCUAAUACAUGCAAGUUGAGCGAUGAAGAUUGGUGCUUGCACCAAUUUGAAGAGCAGCGAACGGGUGAGUAACGCGUGGGGAAUCUGCCUUUGAGCGGGGGACAACAUUUGGAAACGAAUGCUAAUACCGCAUAACAACUUUAAACAUAAGUUUUAAGUUUGAAAGAUGCAAUUGCAUCACUCAAAGAUGAUCCCGCGUUGUAUUAGCUAGUUGGUGAGGUAAAGGCUCACCAAUGCGAUGAUACAUAGCCGACCUGAGAGGGUGAUCGGCCACAAUGGGACUGAGACACGGCCCAAACUCCUACGGGAGGCAGCAGUAGGGAAUCUUCGGCAAUGGACGAAAGUCUGACCGAGCAACGCCGCGGGAGUGAAGAAGGUUUUCGGAUCGUAAAACUCGGUUGGUAGAGAAGAAAGUUGGUGAGAGUGGAAAGCUCAUCAAGUGACGGUAACUACACAGAAAGGGACGGCUAACUACGUG
rnacentral:rRNA from 1 species